rnacentral:rRNA from 1 species
UACGUAGGGCGCAAGCGUUAUCCGGAAUUAUUGGGCGUAAAGAGCUCGUAGGCGGUUUGUCGCGUCUGCCGUGAAAGUCCGGGGCUCAACUCCGGAUCUGCGGUGGGUACGGGCAGACUAGAGUGAUGUAGGGGAGACUGGAAUUCCUGGUGUAGCGGUGAAAUGCGUAGAUAUCGAGAGGAACACCUGCGGCGAAGGCGGGUAGCUGGGCCGACACUGACGCUGAUGCGCGAAAGCCAGGGGAGCGAACGGG